rnacentral:misc_RNA from 1 species
GCAAACUUGGUCAUUUAGAGGAAGUAAAAGUCGUAACAAGGUCUCCGUAGGUGAACCUGCGGAGGGAUCAUUACUGAAUGGCCCGAUGGGCCUUCAAACCCUCAAACCUGUGGACUUGAAACCUGUGCUUCGGCGCCUUUCUUUGUGGGCGCCGCCUUUAUGCAUUGAGUCUGAUGUCGUCAGAUUGCUUUGAAGAUUGAAAACUUUCAACAAAGGAUCUCUUGGCUCUCGCAUCGAUGAAGAACGCAGC